rnacentral:rRNA from 1 species
CAGUCGCCGCGGUAAUACGGAGGGAGCUAGCGUUGUUCGGAAUUACUGGGCGUAAAGCGCGCGUAGGCGGUUACUCAAGUCAGAGGUGAAAGCCCGGGGCUCAACCCCGGAACUGCCUUUGAAACUAGGUGACUAGAAUCUUGGAGAGGUCAGUGGAAUUCCGAGUGUAGAGGUGAAAUUCGUAGAUAUUCGGAAGAACACCAGUGGCGAAGGCGACUGACUGGACAAGUAUUGACGCUGAGGUGCGAAAGCGUGGGGAGCAAACAGGAUUAGAUACCCGAGUAGUCCCCUGUCUCUUAUA